UGAGGAAUUUUGCACAAUGAGUGAAAGCUUGAUGCAGCAAUGCCGCGUGGAGGAAGAAUGCCUUAGGGUUGUAAUCUCCUUUUCUCAUUGAAGAAAUUCUGACGGUAUUUGAGGAAUAAGCAUCGGCUAACUUCGUGCCAGCAGCCGCGGUAAUACGAGGGAUGCAAGCGUUAUCCGGAAUUAUUGGGCGUAAAGAGUUUGUAGGUGGUUGAGUGUGUUUAAUGUUAAAUAUUAAAGCUUAACUUUGAAGUUGCAUUAAAAACUACUCGACUUGAGUAUGAUAGAGGUAAAGGGAAUUCUCAGUGUAGCGGUGAAAUGCGUAGAUAUUGGGAAGAACACCAAUGGCGAAAGCACUUUACUAGGUUAAUACUGACACUAAGAAACGAAAGCUAAGGGAGCAAAAG
rnacentral:rRNA from 1 species